GUUCAAAGUUCCACCUUCCCCUAUUCUCCUUCCCAUCACAAUAUUAUCGUUACUCAUUAUCCCUACCUCCACUCACUCCCAUAACACCACCACCUCUUCAGGCUACGAGUUUUGCUCUCUAUUCAAAUGUGGUAACAUUACCUUCCCCUUUCCUUUCUCCUCUCUUCUUACCUUCGGUUUAGCUGCUCAAGACUGUGGCCUCCCUGGCUACCAAAUCGCCUGCGACGAAUCAUCCUCUCUCUCCGGCAUCAUUCUUUCUGGCAGGCGUUACCAGGUGAAAAAUCUUUUUCUAGCAGAAAGAUUGAUCACCGUCAUUGAUAUGCAACUUAUCAAGGACUUGAUGGCUGGCUCUUGCACUUCGUUACGUAAUCUCACAAUAAUGGCUAGUGGUUAUGUUCCUCCUCUUAGCCUCCCUCCUUGGGCCACUAAUGUUUCUUUGCUUCAGUGUCCUGGUGAGCUGAAACUUCCUCAUGAAUUUCUUGAAAAGGUAGUGCGUAACUAUACUUGUAGAGGUGGCGAUGCGCUUUAUCUAUGGCAGAAUGGGAGUCAAUUUGAUCCACCCAGACUCAGCCCUUCGUUAAACAUGAAGGGUUGCAGUUUGAUCAGGAUUCCUGUGUCAAUGGCUAGCUAUGGGUUCUUGAUCGAUAGGAAUAGGAAGCAUAGGAUUGAGCUGGUUGAUGUGUUGGCUGAUGGGUUUCCUUUGACUUGGCCAAAUUUUGAGGAGUGUAAUAGCUGCAAUGCGACAGGUGGACGGUGUGGAUUUGAUGGUAGUUUAAGGAGAAUCGUUUGCCUCCACCAAAAUCAAUGUCAGAAGAAAUGGAUAAAGUGGGAGCUCAUUUUAGGUGUUGCAGCAGGAUGUUCAGCCGCGGCUAUUAUUGUUGUAGCCUUGAUGAGAAAGCGAAUUUCAACUGCCUUGAUCAAGACAGAGAGUCAAAAUACAGGAGAAGGAAUAAAUACUAAACGGUUUAUUAGAACGUAUCGAUCAGGGUUGCUAACCAACUAUACCCACAACGAUAUUAAGAAGAUGACCAAAGGUUUCAAAGAAAAAUUGGGUGAAGGAGGAUGUGGAAAUGUCUAUAAGGGAAAUUUAUCAGACGGUCGCCUUGUUGCGGUGAAAUUGCUUGAGAAAUCUAACCACAUAGGCCAUGAUUUUAUUAAUGAAAUUGCCACCAUUGGUAGAAUACACCAUGUUAAUGUUAUAAGCUUACUGGGUUUCAGCUGGAAUGGUUCAAGACAAGCUCUCAUCUAUGAGUACAUGCCUAAUGGGUCACUAGCAGACUUACUAUCCAAUGAAGAGUUCUGUCUUUCGUUAGGAAUGUCAAGGAUGCUUGAAAUUGCCAUAGGAAUUGCUCAUGGAAUAGAGUAUUUGCACAAUGGUUGUGAGUCACGAAUCCUUCAUCUCGACAUAAAGCCUCAAAAUGUGUUGCUAGAUCAGAAUUUCAAUCCCAAAAUUUCUGAUUUUGGAUUGGCA
rnacentral:misc_RNA from 1 species